rnacentral:tRNA from 1 species
CGGGGUGUAGCGCAGUUUGGUAGCGCACAUGGUUUGGGACCAUGGGGUCGCAGGUUCAAAUCCUGUCACCCCGACCA